rnacentral:rRNA from 1 species
UGGCUUUUGGGCUGUCGCAGAUGGAUGAGCCUGCGUUGGAUUAGCUAGUUGGUGGGGUAAGGGCCUACCAAGGCUACGAUCCAUAGCUGAUUUGAGAGGAUGAUCAGCCACAUUGGGACUGAGACACGGCCCAAACUCCUACGGGAGGCAGCAGUGAGGAAUAUUGGACAAUGGGGGCAACCCUGAUCCAGCAAUGCCAUGUGUGUGAAGAAGGCCUUAGGGUUGUAAAGCACUUUAGUUGGGGAAGAAAGCUUUGAGGUUAAUAGCCUUAAGGAAGGACGUUACCCAAAGAAUAAGCACCGGCUAACUCCGUGCCAGCAGCCGCGGUAAUACGGGGGGUGCAAGCGUUAAUCGGAAUUACUGGGCGUAAAGGGUCUGUAGGUGGUUUGUUAAGUCAGAUGUGAAAGCCCAGGGCUCAACCUUGGAACUGCAUUUGAUACUGGCAAACUAGAGUACGGUAGAGGAAUGGGGAAUUUCUGGUGUAGCGGUGAAAUGCGUAGAGAUCAGAAGGAACACCAAUGGCGAAGGCAACAUUCUGGACCGAUACUGACACUGAGGGACGAAAGCGUGGGGAUCAAACAGGAUUAGAUACCCUGGUAGUCCAUGCUGUAAACGAUGAGUACUAGCUGUUGGAGUCGGUGUAAAGGCUCUAGUGGCGCAGCUAACGCGAUAAGUACUCCGCCUGGGGACUACGGCCGA